UACGGGGGGGGCAAGCGUUGUUCGGAAUUACUGGGCGUAAAGGGCUCGUAGGUGGCCAACUAAGUCUGACGUGAAAUCCCUCGGCUUAACCGGGGAACUGCGUCCGAUACUGGUUGGCUUGAGUUUGGGAGAGGGAUGCGGAAUUCCAGGUGUAGCGGUGAAAUGCGUAGAUAUCUGGAGGAACACCGGUGGCGAAGGCGGCAUCCUGGACCAAUACUGACGCUGAGGAGCGAAAGCCAGGGGAGCAAACGGG
rnacentral:rRNA from 1 species